UUCCCUUUAAACGAAUGAGAAAACUGAAGGGUUCGGUUACGUACUCAGGGUUCUCAGGAAAGCUGAUAAUACUCUGACCCAACCUGCUGUACAAGCCCCACGUCCACGUACAGGUCAGCAAGAGCAGCUCCAGUUCUCCUGGCCUGGCACUCUCUACACUUCUGAAUAUUUGACAGAACAGAUGCAGAGGGCAGUAUCAGUAAGAAUUUUAAGGUUUCUGCUACUUUGUCCUGGUGUAUUUUGCAGCAAGCAUGUUAUGCAACUUUCUGGAAGAUUUGCUUUGUGGGGUGGUUUGGGGGGUUUUGUUGUUAAAUUUCUACAGUGUAGGAAGUUACUGAAUUUUCAGUCCUGUGUUUUGAAGCAUACUGAAAUAGAUGCCUGUAAAUUAGAUGCAACCUUUUAGUUUUUGGUAUGUAAAAAUGAUUAACGUUGUUUCAAAAUAGUUACUCAUAGGAACACGUUCUGCUUAUGCUGAACAUUGUAGAUAAAAAUACAUUCUGUAACUUACACAUAAGACACUUAAAAAUUGCAAAUUUAACUAUUUUGCCUUUUAGUUCUUUGAGUUGAAAACGGGAGGGAACUGUGUCCCUCGACUCUGAUUUCAGCAAGCCAUUGGAAACUUGGGAUGCUCUGUACUGCCUCUGUGUUUUGUCGUCACUUAAUUGGACAGUCUUUAUUUUGGUAGUUUCAUGUUGCAGG